rnacentral:lncRNA from 1 species
GAGAAAACGGCUAAAGAUAAUUAUUGGAAAUAAAAAUUAACAUCGAGUCCUGCCUUAUCGACUGUAGAGAAAAAUUCUAGAAAAUUUUAUUUAAUUUUCUUACCUUAUCGACUAUAGAUGAAAAUUAUAUAAAUUAACAAAGAUCAUAUUUUGCAAAUUGAAAAGCCUAGGAGUCGGUGUCUAAUGGAUGUUACUAAGUUAAUUUUGCCACCGACUUCUAGGCCGAUGCACCUAAAAUUAGUUUUUUUUUUUGCUUUUUAGUGUUUUGGGAACUCGGUUUAAUUUUUUUUUAAAAAGGUUAUUUAUUUAAAGCUUUUCAGUGAUACGAAUAGUUGUCACUAUCCAUACAAGUGGGAAGUUCUCAUCAAUACAAAGAAUAUAAGUCCAAACGAGGUAUUUUACAUAUUCAGUUGUCGAGUUCCCUUGACUUUCUCUGGUCUCCAUCAUCAGGUCAGCUCCAAACCUUCACUGUUGCAUAGGUCUUGUCAAUACAAAUAAUUUAAGCCCAAACACGAGGUAGUUUACAUAUUCAGUUGUCGAGUUCCCUCGACCCUCUCUGGUCUCCAUCAUCAGGUCAGCUCCAAAUCUUCACAGUUGAAUAGUGCUUUUAGGCGUACACCUAAGUGUCAAGUUUUUACCCUAUGUAUGCCUACAAGUUUUGAAGGUUGCCCUCGAUUUCUCAAGGUUUCCAUCAUCAGAUCCUGACCUGAUGAAUAUGGGACCAACUGGCAGCUAUUCCAAGUCGAACAAAAAAAGAAUCACGUAAAUCGGUCUAUAAACCUCGGAGUAAUCGAUGUGUAUGUGUAACCUCCUCCUUUUUGGGAAGUCGGUUAAAAUGGAAUAAUUUUAUCAAAUUAGUGUAUUGUCAUCGGUCCUCAAUAAAUCUACAAAGUUUGAACGAAAUCUGGCCGUUUAAAGUGGGUCAAAAUCGCGCCCAAAGAAGUCGGUUACAAACAAACAUACAAACAUACAAACCUACAAACAUACAAACAUACAGGUGAAGCUAAUAAAAAGCGUGUAAAAAUGGCUUUUAAUG